GACGAACGCUGGCGGCGUGCUUAACACAUGCAAGUCGAACGAAGUGGCGAACGGGUGAGUAACGCGUAAUCAACCUGCACGUCAGAGGGGGACAACAGUUGGAAACGACUGCUAAUACCGCAUACUGUAGUAGGUGAUUGCGUCUGAUUAGCUAGUUGGAGGGGUAACGGCCCACCAAGGCGAGGAUCCGUAGCCUGUCUGAGAGGAUGAACGGCCACAUUGGGACUGAGACAAGGCCCCGACUCCUACGGGAGGGAGCAGGGGGGAAUCUUCCGCAAUGGACGAAAGUCUGGCGGAGCAACGCCGCGUGAGUGAUGACGGCCUUCGGGUUGGAAAGCUCUGUUAAUCGGGACGCGGUACCGGAAUAGAAAGCCACGGCUAACUACGUGCCAGCAGCCGCGGUAAUUC
rnacentral:rRNA from 1 species